UCCAUAAGUGGGGGGCCUGAGACCCAGAUGUCUCAGUGUUUGGACCCCCAUCCAGGGACCACUGUAAUCGGGAGUUAUCACUCAUCCAGAGAGUACCCACACUCUCAUCAGUUGCCUUUUGUGGACUUUGUUCCAGUGGUGAAUAACAGAGAAUGUCUGUUGCUAAGCCACAGCAUUACAAAGAGCAGUGCAACUUCCUUGAUUAUAGUUCAUCAACCAGGGAGAGUGGAAGCCAUUAAAGAGGCCAAUCUGGGACUUGUAAUUAAUCAGGAGCAAAGGUAUCUUUGAGGAACCAGCAGAGACUAGAGAUGUCAGAGAAGAGAAGAAGUUCAUAACUUCAUGAAGCCCCAUCUUGGCCUCCACUGCCGCCGAGGCACUGAGAAGGUAAAUAGGUCUGAACCAGCCCUGCCACAAAGGACACCGGCAAAGCUAUGUGGCAGGUGCUAAAGUCAGCAAGGUCUGCAAUGCAGGAGUCUCAAGGCCCCAAACUGCUUGUGGCAAGCUCCUCCUGGUUGUUGACAGUCAACAGAGUGGUGAAAAAUAACCCACAAGACCGCACAUCUGGAGGCCAUAGAAAGGAGACCCAAACUGGUGAGCCACAUGAGCUUUAUCUCCGUGAGAGCUUUGGACUGUCCUCAAAGACUCAGACUGCCCCGUACAAAAGCAGUUUUGAAACAGAAAAGACUCUUGGAAAAAACGAGGGUGACGUCUCAUUUCUCGAUACAGUUUUGGUCUCGUUGGGAUAAAAAUAACAAGAAACAAGAAGAGUUUGAAGAUAUUAGGCUCUUAAGAUCUUUAGAAGUGACUCUUGUCCAGGAGUUUUCAACUGUUGCCCACCUCUCUCAUAAUCCUUGGCUCGAGGAAACAGUUACCAGGGCAGAGCAUCCAAAAUAAGCCCAACUCACUCCUGGAUGAAGAGCAUGAAAGGAUGGCACCUAAGGGGGAUCCAUAUUGUACAGUUUAAAAACCAUGAUUCUAGUCCAACUACCAGAUUCAAGAAACUAAGGCGCAGAGAGGGGAAACACCUAGUAGCGGAUUUGGAGUUGGAAUAUUGAUCUCUUGAUUCUCCCUCCAUUGGGUAAUCCCUUGCCCAUCACACUAUACCUACUUCAUAUUUCAGAAGACACACUCCGUUUCACAAACAUAAGGCAUUCAAACUGACUACCUACAAGUUAUAUGCAUAUAAAUAAGGAGAGGAAAUAUGUCAAGAUCUUAACACAGUCUGCCUACUGUCAAUUUCAUUGGCUCCCACAGGGUACGAUAGAAAACUCAUUGUCGUGUACCCCUAUCAUCUACAACAGUAUGCUUGCAUAAAACUGAUGCUCCCCAAAUACUGGUUAGACCAUGCAUGAAUAAACACUGGAUAGGCAUGUCCAUAAAACAAAAUUAUUCUCUUUAACCAUGCAAAACAGUUCUCUAGUCCGGAGCUUCUCAAUUGGCAGGCUAAGGCACAGUGUGUCUCAAUGGGUUCCAGGUGUACCGCAUUGUAGAAGGUCAGAGGGGACCAGGGGCUUCCAUAGUUCCUGAGUAGUCACCUUGGGUGAGGAGAAGCCCCACCCACUGAUUCCAGUAUGCUGAAUGCAUGCCAUCAUUUCCCACAAGGAUCAUGAUGUAAAGUAGGUUGGGAAGCACAGCUUGGGCUUAGGUGUUGGUGUUCCCAAUGGAAUAGCAAUGUGGUGCAGUAAGAAGGGACGACGGCUACAGCUCAGCAAACCUCCACUGAAAUGCCAGUGACAUUAUUUAAAGUCAAAUAAUUAUAUUCCGUAUCUGAAUUUUGUAUUUUAAACUUUUUCUGGAUUUUGAUAAUCAGUAAGUCUUCCCAAAUGAUGGCAGUACUUUUGGGUUUCCUUGCAGAUGAAGACAGCAUUUUACCUUGGUAGUUCUCCUAAUAACCUGUAUUAUACACUUCCCUACAGCUCUGCCUCCCAGUGAGGAAUACAUUUCCUAUUAAGAAGUUUCUUGCACUUUCCAAGUGUCUUUCACCUAUAUCUGUAUCUAUAUCUUCAUCUAAAUCUCUCUCUGUAUCUCUAUUUGUAUCUGUAUCUGUGUUUCAAAACAUCGAAAAUAAAAAUGGUAAGCCCAGUGUCUUUCCAUGCCUACGACGAUGAUUUUUUAAAACCAGAAACAAAACUCCUAUUCUGUAGAUGAGAAUUCUAAUUUUUCUAAAUAGGAAAACUCUUGAGUCAAUUUAUGAGAUGGUAUGAAACCCUUAGAAUGUGUUUUCUUUUGAUGUUAUUAGCCACACACAAAAAUACAGCUACGAAACAUGUAACUGGAAAUUCAGUAAAAUAAUUCAACAUUCUUAUUUUUUUGUUUACUUCCACUAAUUUUUUUGAACAAAACUCUUUGUACCCAAUGCCUGUAUUACCUCAGCUUUCAUAUAAAUACCUUGUAAGGAAACUUUUUGCAUGAUUUUCUGAUGAGCAAAGCAGCUAGCCUCGCCACUUAAUUUAGCACUGCAGAAAGCCUAAGGAGUAGAACAAAAUGUCCAACAUUCUGGCAGGUACAGAGGCAGAGAGAACAAAGAUACCAUCCCUGCCCUCAGAGGUUUCCCAUGUAGUGGGAGGAGCAGACACUUCUAUAAAUAACUGACUAGAGGCAAAGGGCAGAACACAUUCCUAUUAUGGAGGAAUGAGUAAUGUGUGAUGGAAACAGAGUAAUUACUUCUGAAUGGUAAGGGACCAGGCAACAUGGUGAUGGUGUGAGGCUGGGAACCUAUCUGGGUGGGAUUUGACUUGGUUCUUGGAGGG